AAAAUAUUCAACCAAGAUUACAUAUGAAGACUACAUUCUAUGACAGGUGCGUUGACCUAUACACAUCGUGUCGUUAUUACAGUUCAUAUUCAUCUGCUGCACAAUAAUUUUUUACAGAUCAGACGUGACCCGUCGAGUAAUUGGUCCACGUGCAGUUCGUUUUUUACAUUCCGUGGAAGCUUGGUUGCAGAACCUCGGACGGCACAUAGCUGGCGUCGAUCCUUGGACA